rnacentral:lncRNA from 1 species
AUCUUGAAAACGGAAAAUAAAAACAGCAGACCUAUGAAGGUCGAAGGGGAAGAAAAGCUGUAUCGAUUGUUGAGAUCUGGCGACUUGUUUAAAUUUCAUCAGCCUCACUUCUAUGAACUCUCAGGGUCCUCGUAAGAACUUCCAUUUUAUGUUCUUGUCUUCUCAUCAGUUUGAGUUGUGUCUUUAACAUUGGAGAGAAAAACAACUUGCAAGAUUUUCUUUCAGUAUGAACCAUUCUGAGGUCCUUCAAUUCUUUAGCUGAUUACCAACUCCUACCACUGUUAACCCUCAUCCAGGAACAAGCUUAUGUCUUUAACAUUCUGAGUGGGCUUCAGCAUCCUUGCAUAUGUUCAAUUCUUAAAAACCUGUUGAAAUAAAAGAUCAGGAGACAUAGGAAGGAUGCCAGAAGAGAGCGUGGCCUCACGUGUACCAGCUCUCUGCUCUCCUUUGCCUUGGGACGUUCCAUCCCUGGAAGUUUCCCUGCCCACAUCUUUGUAGAGAGUCCAUUCUCCAAGCUUCAGUGUGUCAUCUGUGAGGACCGUGACCCACCUGGUACAUCGCCUCAGGGCAUUCAUUUCAGGCUCCUUCUAAAUGGCCAAGAGACAACACCAACAUUUUUGUAAUGGCCUGCAAGGCCUUCCGAGAUCUACCUCCUGCAACUCAGCUUCUCCUGUGCUCUCCUUCUGGACUCACUCUGCCUCAGCAACACUGGUCCCUGUUGCCCCACCAAUAUGCCAGGUAAACCUCAGGUUCUCCUCCUGCCUUUUGCUAAGUAUAUGUCUUGAUGACAAGCCUUCUGCUGAUGAGCUGUGUUUCUGG